CAUUAAAUCCAUCUUACUACUGACUACAUCAAGACGUCCUUGGCUGAUCUCAAAAGGCUAAGCAGCAGUGAGCCUGGAUGGUAUCAGGAUGGGAGACCACUAAGAGAUCCCAGGGAUGAAAGC
rnacentral:rRNA from 1 species